GUUCGACCCGAGCGAAGCGAGAGAACGUUGCGUCAGCAACGGCCCGCAGGGCGAGCCACGCAGUGGCGAGUCAUCCUCUAUCACCGACCA
rnacentral:sRNA from 3 species